rnacentral:rRNA from 1 species
UCAGCAUGCCGCGGUGAAUACGUUCCCGGGCCUUGUACACACCGCCCGUCACACCACGAGAGUUUGCAACACCCGAAGUCGGUGAGGUAACCUUUACGGAACCAGCCGCCGAAGGUGGGGCAGAUGAUUGGGGUGAAGUCGUAACAAGGUAUCCCUACCGGAAGGUGGGGAUGGAUCACCUCCUUUCU